rnacentral:rRNA from 1 species
GAUCCUGGCUCAGGACGAACGCUGGCGGCGUGCUUAGCACAUGCAAGUCGAACGAGAAUCUACUGAAAGAGUUUUCGGACAAUGGAUGUAGAGGAAAGUGGCGGACGGGUGAGUAACGCGUGAGGAACCUGCCUUGAAGAGGGGGACAACAGUUGGAAACGACUGCCAAUACCGCAUGACGCAUAGGGGUCGCAUGAUCUUUAUGCCAAAGAUUUAUCGCUUCAAGAUGG